AAUAGAUCACAUCUAAGGUUUCAAGGGAUUAAGAAGCCAGUUGAAGGAUAAAAUUCACUGAAGUUUACUUCGAAAUUGACACUGACGAGAUAAGAAGACCAAAGAUUGCGGAUUCUAUGUAUUUAAUUGCCUAAUGCACUUGGCCUUCAACAACAAAACCUGCAAUUGGUCCAGCAGGGAAAAGAAUCAGUCUGCCCAGAUGGCAAUUUAUUAUUAUAGAAUCUGAACUGCUUCUUCUAUUGUUCGUUCCUUAAUGAUUACGAUCUAUAAUUUUUUCCCUCAUAUCGUGUCUUCUUCUUCGUCUUCUGGAAUUUCAAGGACUGCUACAACGGGUGUAGAUCAAGAGAUCACGUGAAAUGUAAUGGCAAUCGCUGACAUUCUAUUAUUGUGAACCUUGCCAACUAGUUGCUAAUAAAGUUUAUGCUGAGGUGCUAUUAUUUUCAUCGAAUAUUUUACAGAUUCGUUUGAAGUCAAAAAAUUAACGAAACGAUAUUUAUCGAUUAUUAUUCCAUUCAUUAUCUUACUAGUUUUUCUCUUAGAGAAAUACAUCAGUAAGUUUGAAAUGGUAAAAAAAGAAAUAUACCAUCUCAUUUAAAUAACUUUCUGUGAGGAAAGGUGAUAAUUUUCAAAGAGAAGUAUGGACUUCUUUGUUUCUUUCUCAGAUGAUAACAUAGAAAUUAAAUAACAGCAAAUGGUCCUGUAAAAAAUACUCUAUUAUUUUGUUUUUUUUAUGAGUACAAACCGAAACUAAAGGUUUGGAUGUUUCUUUCAUUAUCAAAGCUUGCUACAAAAAAACUGUCCAUUCCAGUUUGAGAAGAGGAUAUAAAAGACAAUGGAAAAGCUAAAUCCAAGGCGAACAAGGUGGAAGCGCUAGACGCGCGAAAGCGCAAUGUCGCCUCUCGAGUUAAAGUGAAAGUCGACUCUGUUGUGAUCGUUGAUCCAAAUCGACGCGAGAGAUCGAUAAGAACGAUUCCAAUACGAUAUCCUCGUGAGCAACUAUAAAUAAUUUGUGUUUCUUUAUAUCUCUUUCCAUAUUUGUAUACAUCUAUUAUAUAUGCAUACGUGUGUGUGUGUGUGUAUGGGGUCUUGUUGCUUUUCUUAAAACCGUAGAGAAAUUCGGAUUAAGGAUUUUUGAUUUAAUUAACGAAAGAUCAGAAAGAAAAGUGAUAUAUUAAA